CACUCUUCCCCUACCUAAUAAUGCCAGGUAUCUGUCCAAGGCUCAAACCUUGAGGCGAAAGGUCUGGCCUUAUCUCUUUCCCUGAUGAGUGCUGUCUUCCUUUCACAAGAAAAACCCUUAGAAUUAAACUGUCUUUUUUCAAGUUAAGAAUUAACACAAAUAUGCAACAUUUCCAAUCAUGAUAAUAAUGAAAAUUAAUAAAACACAAGACCAUUUCCAAUACCCACAUUGUCAAAAUAUAGGCUACUGUCCCAGGAGAGAGCUACCCCUGGCUUGAUGUUAACAUGCUUUUAUUCUGAAGAACAGUCAGGAAAGUGAGCAGUCAGCAGCAGCUUUACAGGUUUCACUAACUGCCUGCAGCAGCAAAGUUGGCAGCAGCACUCAGCAUGCUAUUAUUUGCCUAGUCUUAAAAUAAGUUAUCACUGCUGUAUAAAAUAGAAUUGAAAAUAGUUCUAAUCUCCAAUCUCACUUUGAGCUUUAUAAACCAUUGUUUUACUAAUUCAUAGCCAAAUCCUCCCAACGACAAGUGAGUGCUUCUCAGUGAACAAACUAAACCGACAGUCGCAGUAGUGACACCUUGUGUUUUAAAAUGUGUAAACGUUAAACCAGAUCAUCUGAAUAGGAAUGAAAAAUUUUACCAAUUUAUUUACUGGACAAUAAUGGAAAAAUGAUUUCAGUAAUAUGUCAAUUAAAUGUAGUGAUAAUACUGAGUGAUGUUUUGUUGAGCCAUAGUUUUAUAUUUAAGUAUUUAUGGUGACAACAUUGUGUCUCAUAUUUUCAAAUAAUUUAUUCUAAAGCAAUGCUAAAUUAUUUGGCUUUAUUUAAGUGCCUUAACUCCAAAAGUAGCACAUUCCCCAAAUGUAACAUAACACGCUGGAAGUUGGAAAAGUACAUGACUGUAAUAUUUAUUUUGCAUUGUUUUUGAAUGAUUAAUGUUCACAAUCGGUCCCAAAUGCUGGUGAAUUCCAGAGCUGAUUAGAAAUGUAGAUGAAGUGCAUAGAACUGUAGGUGGAUGCUCUCUGCAUGUGUAGUCUUUUGUGUUGUCCCUGAAUGAAUAAUAAAUGUUUUCUGAUACUGUGAUGAGCUGUAUGAAUUCUAUGCAGCAGGAAUAAAAAAGAAAUCCCUCAGUGGAUUUCCUGUGAGUGAGCCAGUUCACUUCAAAAAGAUAAAAUGCUCAAUAGUAACAUUUUUGAUAAACAGUGAAAUUUACAAAGUAUUGGUUUUAUUUAGACUGUUGACUGAACAGUCGUGUAAGACAGUCUGUGCACGUUGAUCAGGGAAGUAGACCAACUGUUCUGUCUGAAGGAUUUGAAUAAAUGUUUACUAUUGAAACCAG